CGGAGGGUGCAAGCGUUGUCCGGAUUUAUUGGGUUUAAAGGGUGCGUAGGCGGCAGAUUAAGUCAGCGGUGAAAUUCCACAGCUCAACUGUGGAACUGCCAUUGAUACUGGUUUGCUUGAGUACAGAUGAGGUAAGCGGAAUUGACAGUGUAGCGGUGAAAUGCUUAGAUAUUGUCAAGAACACCUAUUGCGAAGGCAGCUUACUAAGCUGUAACUGACGCUGAGGCACGAGAGCGUGGGGAUCAAACAGGAUUAGAUACCCUGGUAGUCCACGCUGUAAACGAUGAUUACUCGAUGUGUGCGAUAGACAGUACGCGUCCAAGCGAAAGCGUUAAGUAAUCCACCUGGGGAGUACGCCCGCAAGAGUG
rnacentral:rRNA from 1 species